AACGCCCACAAUUUUUAAUGUAAACCCCUUCGAUGAGGUUCACUGUCUCUCGUAUUCUACAAAUCUCCCUCGAAUAGAUUCUGCACGAUUGAUUACUUGCAUUAUUCGCGCAAAUUACGCGAGGAUUGUUAUUAGACGACGCGAUCAAAGGUAACAAACAGACUUUUCGAAAUCCAUUCCUUUUUCGAAAAUACAACAGUAAACACUGAGGAACGAAGAAAAGGUCAUUGCGAAGAAAUCCAUUCUUUCUUCGAAGAUACCACAGUUAACACUGAGUAACGAAGAAAAGGUCAUUGCGAAGCUGUUGGUGGAAUCGAUUUCAAGCGUUGUGUCACAGACUGUGUCUACAUCAGGAGAGAAGCUCAAAGCCAAAGGUAAGAA